CCCCCGCGCGCCAGCGCCGUGACGUCACGCCUGUGGAGCUGCGGCCGCCGGGGGCCGUGAGGGGCGCGGGCUGGCGCGGGCUGGCGCUGGGUGGCGCGGGUCGGCGGCAUGGCGGAGAGCGAGGCCGAGACCCCCAGCACCCCGGGGGAGUUCGAGAGCAAGUACUUCGAGUUCCACGGCGUGCGGCUGCCGCCCUUCUGCCGCGGGAAGAUGGAGGAGAUCGCCAACUUCCCCGUGCGGCCGAGCGACGUGUGGAUCGUCACCUACCCCAAGUCUGGCACAAGCCUACUGCAGGAGGUGGUCUACCUGGUGAGCCAGGGCGCUGACCCCGAUGAGAUCGGCCUGAUGAACAUCGAUGAGCAGCUCCCGGUGCUGGAGUACCCACAGCCGGGCCUGGACAUCAUCAAGGAACUGACCUCUCCCCGGCUCAUCAAGAGCCACCUUCCCUACCGGUUCCUGCCCUCUGACCUCCACAACGGCGACUCCAAGGUCAUCUACAUGGCUCGCAACCCCAAGGACCUGGUGGUGUCCUACUAUCAGUUCCACCGCUCCUUGCGGACCAUGAGCUACCGAGGCACUUUCCAGGAAUUCUGCCGGCGGUUUAUGAAUGACAAGCUGGGCUAUGGCUCCUGGUUUGAGCACGUUCAGGAGUUCUGGGAACACCGCACGGACGCCAACGUGCUCUUCCUCAAGUACGAAGACAUGCACCGGGACCUGGUGACCAUGGUGGAGCAGCUGGCCAGAUUCCUGGGUGUGUCCUGUGACAAGGCCCAGCUGGAAUCCCUGACUGAGCACUGCCACCAGCUGGUGGACCAGUGCUGCAAUGCUGAGGCCUUGCCCGUGGGCCGGGCACAUUGCCUCUGUGCUCAGAAGAUCUCCCUGAGCCGAGAGGGGCAGGGGCUCAGGUAGCCCCCCUGCACUGCUUGCCUUUGGUUCAUGUCACAGCCUAAAUUGUCUGAGUCCAAAUCUUCCACCAGGGAGAGUUGGGCUGUGGAAGGACAUCUUCACCGUCUCCAUGAAUGAGAAGUUUGACUUAGUGUAUAAACAGAAGAUGGGGAAGUGUGACCUCACGUUUGACUUUUAUUUAUAAUGACGGAAAUGGCGAACUUGCAUGCUCAUGGUCCCCAGACGCUCCUAGCUAAAUGUCCUGUAUGCAUUCAUUUAUUCCUUGCUGGACACACCCUGGAAGCAGCGCGUAAACCACAGGGGAAGGAACCCAUGCAGAAUCCAAAGAAGUAUGCCGGUCCCCAUCCACAGCUGCUGCCUCGCCUUUAGGGUUGAGAGUUUCCACUUGUCUGAUGCAAACCUUAUAAAAAUUACAGUCCGUGGCUUGCAUCCUAAGUACAAAGUCCAUGCUGCAGGCAGCUCCAGUCUCUGCCUUGGGCAACUCUAUCUACUUACUGUAUUUUCUAGAGCUUUUCACUGGAAAUCUAAGUAAAUAUCAGUAAACCAAAUAAAAGUUCAUUUCCAAGGGGAAGCAAGAGUGAGCCGCCACCCAAUGGCAGAAGCUCUCUGACUGCCUCUAUUUGGUAGUCAUGUCACCCAAGGCCCCGCAUGGCACUGACCCUUGGUUCUGGGGUCCCUAUGAGAACAGAGGAUAAGGUGGGGUGCAGGGGAACUGGAGCUGUUGUGUUCUGCUGGAGUCCAGUCCUUGUGACCUUCCUGGCGCCUUCAGAAGACUUCUGGACACUUUCAGAAUUCCGGCAGGGGCCGCUCUCGAGCCCAGUGCAGAGCAUCCUGGGAGCUUCCACUUGCAGAUGGGGGAUCACCUACGAGCCAUAGCCUCCGAAAGCAGGGAGUGGAGAGGCUGCCAGAUGGACACCCAGACACUCAGCACUGGAGUUGAAUUUCGCAGGCUUUCCUUUUGUUCCCUGAAGCAGUGGCAAGCAGAGGCUUUGUAGCGCAGCAGAUUUCUAAAAGUCCUGGGUCUCUGGUGUUCAGUUUGUUCCCCCUGUGCCUGAGCUCUUGCUGAGAAUGAUUUUGCAAGUUGAAUGCUUUCUGUCACUCAGGUGGGCAGCAGGGCACCUGUCUCUGUCACCCAUACCUUAGUAUGUCUGGGGGCAGUGACCGUGUCUGCCUACCACCUGCUUCCUUUUAUGGCCCACGUUUGGCUGGAGGAAGAAUGGAGAGCCGGCCAGGUGGGAGGCCAGGCACCGGCUCUUCCUGAUGGAGCCAGGAUGUGCCCCAGGGUGGGGGGGCGCAGGGCUGCCACUGUGGGGGGUCCUGUCUGUAGGAGAAGCGGGGGUGAGGCCAGGCACGCGCAGGGGCAUGCACUCACUGAGUGGAGGCAUGGGUGGCAGCACCUUUUCUUUGUGUCUGGGAGGGAGGCUGCUUUCUGUGAAAUUUCAUUUCUAUUUUUCUAUUUUUAGUACCGUAUGGAUAUUACUGAGCACUACACAUGAUACUUCUGUGCUUGCUUGCAUCUUUAAUAAAGACACCUUCCCUGCCUUUUGUCGA